rnacentral:rRNA from 1 species
UAGGGAAUCUUCCGCAAUGGGCGAAAGCCUGACGGAGCAACGCCGCGUGAGUGAUGAAGGUCUUCGGAUCGUAAAACUCUGUUAUUAGGGAAGAACAAAUGUGUAAGUAACUAUGCACGUCUUGACGGUACCUAAUCAGAAAGCCACGGCUAACUACGUGCCAGCAGCCGCGGUAAUACGUAGGUGGCAAGCGUUAUCCGGAAUUAUUGGGCGUAAAGCGCGCGUAGGCGGUUUUUUAAGUCUGAUGUGAAAGCCCACGGCUCAACCGUAGAGGGUCAUUGGAAACUGGAAAACUUGAGUGCAGAAGAGGAAAGUGGAAUUCCAUGUGUAGCGGUGAAAUGCGCAGAGAUAUGGAGGAGCACCAGUGGCGAAGGCGACUUUCUGGUCUGUAACUGACGCUGAUGUGCGAAAGCGUGGGGAUCAAACAGG